UUUCUUCAGGGCAGGGUGCGAUUCCCGACCGGCGGUACAGUCCGCGGCCACCUUCGGGUGAAUGAACCGGUGAGAUUCCGGUACCGACAGUUAAAGUCUGGAUGAAAGAAGAA
rnacentral:ncRNA from 1 species